UACGUAGGAUGCAAGCGUUGUCCGGAAUUAUUGGGCGUAAAGCGUCCGCAGGUGGCACUUCAAGUCUGUCGUCAAAGACUGGGGCUUAACCCUGGAAAGGCGGUGGAAACUGAAGCGCUAGAGUGUGGUAGGGGUAGAGGGAAUUCCCGGUGUAGCGGUGAAAUGCGUAGAGAUCGGGAAGAACAUCGGUGGCGAAGGCGCUCUACUGGACCGCAACUGACACUCAGGGACGAAAGCUAGGGGAGCGAAUGGG
rnacentral:rRNA from 1 species